rnacentral:lncRNA from 1 species
UAUACUUAAAGUUUUGUCAUUAUCAAAAGAGGAAGAUUGUUGAUCUCAGGGACUGAUUUUGAUAGAUAACAAAAUAUUUAAGUAUAUAAUAGAACUAAUAAUUUUGUGAAGUUAAUAUUUUAGAAAAAAUUUAAAAUAUCAAAAGAAUAGAUCUAAAUACCUAAAUAAAAUUUAAACAAGAAGUUUUUGAAAAUCUACAUGUUGUGAAAGGCCAUGAAAAUCAAGGUGAAAGAGGUCCUCAAAAGUUGAGAUAAAAAACCCACUCAUGUAGAAAUAUUCAAAAUUUUCCAGUUGAUUGUUAUUUAAGUCAACUCAAACUCUAUUCAGAUCGACUCAAGUGAAAAAUAGAAGAAAAGAAGGUUCUGGCAUACUAAAGUUUCAAUUGUCAUGCUCUUAAGUCAACUCAAAUCCCAUCCGAGUUGACUCCAUAGAAAAAGGGAUAGAAAAUAAUUUUUUAGCAUCAAAAAAUCGGAAUGGACUUAUAAAAAUUUGAUUGACAAUUCGAGUUGACUCAAAUUAUCUGAGCUGAAGUUUUAAGAAAAGAUAGAAAAAUAUUAUUUUUGGAAAGAAAGUCUCGAGUGGACUCAUAGUUGGUCGAGUUGACUCAAAUGAUAUUCGAGUCAACUCAAAUCUAUUGACCAGAAAGAUAGCAACCCAAAAUGGGAGAUGAAUUAGAUUCUUUAAAAAUUUUAACUAAAUUCUAAAAUCUAAAUAAAUAUAUGCUUCAAAUUAAACUUAUUUUAGUGUUUGUGAAGACUAAAUAAUGUGUAGCAAUAGAAAAAAUAGAACUAUACAAGAAUAAAGAUAAUAUAAGACAUGCAAAGCAAG